UAUUCCUGAUCACCGUUCUUGUCGAUCGGAAAAUCAAAAUACCAGCGUGAUAUUGCCGCGAAGAUGAAGCAGUUAUGUUAUUUGAUUCGUACUUCAUAUUCGAGUCGAAGCUUGGGUGGCACAGGUUAUUUCUUGCGGUGGAAUCGACGAGGGGAAUUCGAACACUAGUUGUAGUGUUUGAAUUGUUGAAAGAAAUGGUCGCAUGAUGAUUAUUAACCUGCCCUAUUUAUAUCGGUUACGCUUCAUGUUGACAAGUCCCUCAAAAUGGCGGCCAAACUUGGAGAUUGCCGAAAAUUAGGUUUAUGCAGACGCUUCCUUGGUUUUUCCGCUAUUGGUGGCGGAGACCUUUGCCCGGAAUUUUAAAAUGGACGACUGGGAUUGAAAGGGGGUAAGCGAUUUGGUGAAGAAAAAAACUUCGCCAAUGGAGACAAAUUUUGAAGCUUCCAGGAGGCUUUCAGUGAAAUUAAAAGACGGCGGACGUGGUCCAAAUACAGAAGAUUCUCGACAUUUUGUCACAGCAGUAAUUGAAUUUAUUCAA